ensembl:snoRNA small nucleolar RNA SNORA1
AGCCUCAUUCUCCAGGAGAACGGGCCCUGCUGGUUGUUGUGUCCAGAAAUUCUUAAUGUGGAUAAACUGAAACACAGACCAUGCCUCCAUCUCAGUAAAUGUAUUGCAAUGGUGACGAUGAGACCUGUAAUUUUU